GCUGGGUGUGGUGGUGCACACCUGUAGUCCUAGCUACUCAGGGAGCUGAGGCAGGAAGAUUACUUGAGCCCAGGAGUUCAACACUGCAGUGAGCCAUGAUCACAUUGCUGCACGUUAGCCUAGGCAACAGAGUGAGACCCUGUCUCUU
rnacentral:SRP_RNA from 1 species